rnacentral:rRNA from 1 species
CCUACGGGUGGCAGCAGUGAGGAAUAUUGGUCAAUGGGCUUACGCCUGAACCAGCCAAGUCGCGUGAGGGAAGACUGCCCUAUGGGUUGUAAACCUCUUUUGUCAGGGAGCAACGCCGGCUACGUGUAGCCGGACUGAGAGUACCUGAAGAAAAAGCAUCGGCUAACUCCGUGCCAGCAGCCGCGGUAAUACGUAGGGGGCAAGCGUUAUCCGGAUUUACUGGGUGUAAAGGGAGCGUAGACGGCAAGGCAAGUCUGGAGUGAAAGCCCGGGGCCCAACCACGGGAGUGCUUUGGAAACUGGGUUGCUGGAGUGCAGGAGGGGUAAGCGGAAUUCCUAGUGUAGCGGUGAAAUGCGUAGAUAUUAGGAGGAACACCGGUGGCGAAGGCGGCUUACUGGACUGUAACUGACGUUGAGGCUCGAAGGCGUGGGGAGCAAACAGGAUUAGAUACCCGAGUAGUC